rnacentral:rRNA from 1 species
GUUUGAUCCUGGCUCAGAGUGAACGCUGGCGGCGUGUUUUAGGCAUGCAAGUCGAACGCGAAAGCAGCAAUGCGUGUAGCGUGGCGAAAGGGCGAGUAAUGCGUGGGUAAUUUACCUCAAGGAUUGGACUAACCAUUGGAAACGAUGGAUAAUGCCAAAUGGUCCGGACUGGCGGCAUCGCUGGUCCGGUAAACGGUCGGUUUCGGCCCUCUGCCUUGAGAGAAGUUCACGUCCUAUCAGCUAGUUGGCGGGGUAACGGCCCACCAAGGCAAUGACGGGUAGCCGGACUGAGAGGUUGGCCGGCCGCACUGGGACUGAGAUACUGCCCAGACUCCUACGGGAGGCUGCAGUCGAGAAUCUUCCGCAAUGGGCGAAAGCCUGACGGAGCGACGUUACGUGAAUGAAGAAGCCCUUCGGGGUGUAAAGUUCUUUUAUGUGGGAGGAAGUAAUUGACAGUACCACAUGAAUAAGGGGGUCCUAAUUCUGUGCCAGCAGGAGCGGUAAUACAGAAUCCCCGAGCGUUACCCGGAUUUAUUGGGCGUAAAGGGUCCGUAGGUGGUAAAGUAAGUUGAAAGUUAAAUCUCAUCGGCUUAACCUUUGAGCUGCUUUCAAAACUGCUUUACUUGAGGGCGUUAGGGGUUAGCGGAACCGACGGAGUAGGGGUGAAAUCCGUUGAUAUCGUCGGGAACACCAAAAGCGAAGGCAGCUAACUAGGACGACCCUGACACUGAGGGACGAAAGCGUGGGUAGCAAAAAGGAUUAGAUACCCUUGUAGUCCACGCUGUAAACGAUGGAUACUAGCUAUGUGAAGUGUCGACCCUUCACGUGGCGAAGCUAACGCGUUAAGUAUCCCGCCUGGGAAGUACGGUGGCAACACUAAAACUCAAAGGAAUAGACGGGGACUCACACAAGCGGUGGACCAUGUGGCUUAAUUCGACAACAAACGAAGAACCUUACCAGGUCUAGAAAUCCAACUGACCAUCCUAUGAAAGUAGGACUUCGCAAGACAGUUGGACA